GCUGACGAGCGGCGGACGGGUGAGUAACGCGUAGGAAUCUACCCAGUAGCGGGGGAUAGCCCGGGGAAACUCGGAUUAAUACCGCAUACGCCCCAAGGGGGAAAGCAGGGGAUCUUCGGACCUUGCACUAUUGGAUGAGCCUGCGUUGGAUUAGCUAGUUGGUAGGGUAAAGGCCUACCAAGGCGACGAUCCAUAACUGGUCUGAGAGGAUGAUCAGCCACACUGGGACUGAGACACGGCCCAGACUCC
rnacentral:rRNA from 1 species